GGCUGGUCUCAAACUCAUGAGCUCAAGCAAUCCCCCCGCCUUGGCCUCACAAAGUGCUGGGAUUACAGGCAUGAGCCACUGCACCCAGCCGAGCCAGUUGUUAAACAUCUACCAACACACCCUGAUUCUGGUUCUAGUGGAAGUUUCACCACAUCUAGCCAUGGGUCCUUGGGAUGGCAGCAGCAAUUCCAAGAACAACAACAGCAAGAAGAAUAAGAGAGAUCAUCUUUUCCUGGGGCUCUAUCUUAGAAAGAAGGGAGAAGGAAUGCUGGCAAUUUAUUGUGCAGGAAGAGAUAUACAAAGUCCAAGCAGGUUAGGUACCAAAAAGUGACAUUUCUGUUAUUGGUAGCCGCUGUGACCUAUUGAUAAACAGAGCAAUUGAUAAACACCAAUUAGAUGCCCUGAAUCAUUCCCAGCAGCUAUCAGUGAAAUUAACACCAGCAACAAUGAAAGCAAAGAAUGUUCCUGCGCCUCAGAUUGGGAAGAGGGGCAGCUGUUAAACUCACAUCUUCUCAUGGAGACUCAUUAUGCACAUGAAUAUAUGAGAAGCUCUGUGCAGUCUUGUAGGAAGAAAACUGUUUAACUGUUUCACCCAAUGUUUUCCAAGUCCAUUUGAUAACAGAAGCCACUUUUCAUCUAACACCUAUUAGCAUCCUGUGGAACUAGUGUUAUGAAAGACACACCUUAAGAAAAACUCAUCUACCUCAACCUCAGAAGUUUCAGAAAAUUGUGCAUCUUUUCCUGUUCUUUCAUUUUAUUAAAAAUAAAC
rnacentral:lncRNA from 1 species